GAUGAAGAACGUAGCGAAAUGCGAUACGUAAUGUGAAUUGCAGAAUUCAGUGAAUCAUCGAAUCUUUGUACGCACAUUGCGCCCGCCAGCACUCUGGCGGGCAUGCCUGUUCGAGCGUCAUUUCAACCAUCAAGCCCCAGGCUUGCGUUGGAGCCCUGCGGCUGCCGCAGCCUCCUAAAAGCAGUGGCGGGCUCGCUAUCACACCGAGUGCAGUAGAUUACUCUUCGCUCAGGGCGUGCAGCGGGUUCCGGCCGUGAAACCCCCUACUUUUAAAGGUUGACCUCGGAUCAGGUAGGAAUACCCGCUGAACUUAAGCAUAUCAAUAACCGGAGGA
rnacentral:misc_RNA from 1 species